AUCCCUGCAGCGCAAUGGAUAACACGUAGGACUUGUAAUCCGAAGGUUGUGGGUUCGAAUCCCACCGGGGAUG